GUAAGGGCAAUCGGACCCUUUCCGGUGAGGGAACCUCUCUCCAGACAUGAUCAAGAGAAACUGGCGAGGGACUGACAUGAUCUAGCUUACCUUGGGUCACCGAACGGAUUUGAACUCAUGUGAGAAUAUAUCUCUGUUGUAUUCAAAAGGCAUGUGACAUAAUUAUCCCAGCGAUCACUAAAACUGUAAAUUUGGAUGCAAUUAAGAGAGAAAACUCCACACAUUUAUGGAAAUUUAAGAUUUGCAGCUUGCUGGCUUGCUGAGUGGAAAAUGAUUCUUUCCCAGUUCUCCUUGGUUUCUUCCUUUCAUGAAUUGAUUAACACUGAGAGAUUAUGUUUUAAUUAUGUCGACUAGAGGUUUUAAAUGAUUCUAGGUUUCUGUGUCCAUUUGUUUUCCUAGGUUUGGGGAAUUUGCUACUGCAAUAUCGUUGUAUAGAUAUUCUUUGCUUUAGUGAGAAACUCAGCUCCUUCUACUCUGUGGUUCUUAGCUUUAGUCUAUUGUACACAUCACAGAGUUAAUGAAAGCUGUGGUCAUACUUGAUUUUUUCUUCAUUACUAUUGAAAUAAAGCAUAUCCUUGA
rnacentral:lncRNA from 1 species